AAAUUGAAGAGUUUGAUCAUGGCUCAGAUUGAACGCUGGCGGCAGGCCUAACACAUGCAAGUCGAACGGUAACAGGAAGCAGCUUGCUGCUUCGCUGACGAGUGGCGGACGGGUGAGUAAUGUCUGGGAAACUGCCUGAUGGAGGGGGAUAACUACUGGAAACGGUGGCUAAUACCGCAUAACGUCGCAAGACCAAAGAGGGGGACCUUCGGGCCUCUUGCCAUCAGAUGUGCCCAGAUGGGAUUAGCUUGUUGGUGAGGUAACGGCUCACCAAGGCGACGAUCCCUAGCUGGUCUGAGAGGAUGACCAGCCACACUGGAACUGAGACACGGUCCAGACUCCUACGGGAGGCAGCAGUGGGGAAUAUUGCACAAUGGGCGCAAGCCUGAUGCAGCCAUGCCGCGUGUAUGAAGAAGGCCUUCGGGUUGUAAAGUACUUUCAGCGGGGAGGAAGGUGUUGCGGUUAAUAACCGCAGCAAUUGACGUUACCCGCAGAAGAAGCACCGGCUAACUCCGUGCCAGCAGCCGCGGUAAUACGGAGGGUGCAAGCGUUAAUCGGAAUUACUGGGCGUAAAGCGCACGCAGGCGGUCUGUCAAGUCGGAUGUGAAAUCCCCGGGCUCAACCUGGGAACUGCAUUCGAAACUGGCAGGCUUGAGUCUUGUAGAGGGGGGUAGAAUUCCAGGUGUAGCGGUGAAAUGCGUAGAGAUCUGGAGGAAUACCGGUGGCGAAG
rnacentral:rRNA from 1 species